rnacentral:lncRNA from 10 species
UAAAAAUACAAAAAUUAGCUGGGCGUGGUGGUGCGGCCUGUGAUCCCAGCUACUCAGGAGGCUGAGGCAGGAGAAUCGCUUGAGCCCUGGAGGCGGAGGUUGCAGUGAGCCAAGAUCGCACCACUGCACUCCAGCCUGGGAGACAGAGCAAGACUUCGUCUCAAAAAAAAAAAAAAAAAAAAAAAAAUUAGAUUGUGGUAAUGGUUACACAACUCUGGAUAUUCGAAAGUAUCCAAAUGUCCAACAAGAGGAAAAGGUUAACUACAUUAUGGCAUAUCCACUUGAUUGGAUAUUAAGAAGACAUUGUAAUGAUAAUUAUGAUGAUAAUGAAGAAAUCUAUGUAAGUGGUUACACUGUAACAGUAAGUGAGGGAAGCAGUUCAGAACUGUAUGUACCUUAUAAACAUAACUAAAAACAUACAGGAUGAAGAAAAACUAGGAAGGCUUCCACCCAGCAAAUAUGAAAGUGUUUGAGAUUAAAAGUAAAUUAAAGGUGGAAUUACAAGUAACAUUUCCACUUUUUUGUAAUGUUGACAUACAGAGCCAUGAAAAAUACACACUGAAAACCUCCCAGUUCUCCUGUGGAUGAACAAUCUGCAGAUUUUUAGAAAUUGUUCCAGGGUCUCAGUAGUAACCCUUGCAGGCACCGCUGGCCCAGGAUCUGGACAAUUCUAGAGGCAGGAAGCACAGAGACGAAGAAGGGGACUCACUGCCUGACCGCAGAGAAACGAGCUGUGCCUUUUGACCAGGUGUGUUUCCACCACGUGUUGGGAGGAGUGUUCUCAGAACCAUGACUCAGCCCAGCAGCCAUAAACCAGUCUCCCACACUACCCCAGAGACUUCCUGGGGCACUUGCUUAAGGUGGCUAUAAAAGUGCUUCCAACUUUCUCGCCUCCCACAGGGAGAGGGAGGUCAGCUCCCGGCAUUGAAAAAGGCUGACUGUCCUUCCAGAAGGACCUGGAGCCCAUCAGCAGAGGCUGCAUUUCCCAUCACAGGGUGCUCCUGAGCCUGCACCAGGGCUGUUGGACAAACAUGUCCCGCAUGAUCCUAGGGUACAAAAGGUUAACCAACACAAAGGAGCCCAAGGAAAUGAAAUAAGUUUGCAGAAUCAAAGGUUUCAGGGUUCCAAAGGCUCCCCCUUGGGGGUGGGAGAGACAUGGUGCAACUUGUGCCUUUACUAAGCAGAUAACAAAAGAAAGUGGAUUCCUAGGCAGCGCCUCCUUAAGUAGCCAGUAGAGGGCUCUGAAUCUAAUCAACAAGUGAUUGCUUUAUAAUGUUUUUAAAUUUGCUACAACCUCUAACUCAACUCUCUAAAUGAAUAGAAUUUAGUGGGAGUUUAUCCCACCAAGUACCUGAGGGCUGUAAGGGGCCACACUUCCUCUCUCUCUUUCUUUGUUUUGUUUUGAGACGGAGUCUCAUUCUGUUGCCCAGGCUGGAGUACAAUGGCAUGAUCUCGGCUCACUGUAACCUCUGCUGCCCGGGUUCAAGGGAUUCUCCUGCCUCAGCCUUCUGAGUAGUUGGGAUUACAGGCGCACUCCACCACGCCCAGCUAAUUUUUAAAUUUUUAGUAGAGACGGGGUUUCACCAUGUUGGCCAGGGUGGUCUCAACCUCCUGACCUCAGGUGAUCCACCCACCUUGGCCUCCCAAAGUGCUGGGAUUAUAGGUAUGAGCCACCAUCCUUGGCCUUUUUUUUUCUUUUCUUUCCUUUUUUUUUCAGACAGGGUCUCACUCUGUCACCCAGGCUGGAGUGCAGUAGCGCAGUCUCCCGGGCUCAAGCCAUCCUGCCACCGCAGCCUCCCGAGUAGUUGGGACUGUAGGCACACACCACCAUGACCGGCUAAUUUUUACAUGUUUUGUAGAGAUGGGGUUGCUCCAUGUUGCCCAGGCUGGUCUCAAACUCCUGACCUCAAGUUUGAGAUGAGAUCUGCUCAUCUCAGCCUCCCAGUGUAUGCAGAUUACAGCCGUGAGCCACGGUGCCUGGCCUCCUUAUUCAUUUUGUAAAGCAGGAGGGAGUCAUGGCACAGCAGAAAGCAUUGAAGGAAGAGUCAGCCAACUUGGAUUUAAUCCUCAUUCCAUCCUAAAUACUUGGUGACCUUGGCUAAGUCCUCCUGCUAGGAGGACUUCUGUCAUCUGCACUUUGAGAGAUGCUUUUUGCCCAGGGCCGUGACAGCCAGCCGGUGUGGCCAGAGUAGCAGACUGGGCUCAUUUUAGCUGCCUGGAAAGAACCCUGGUUCCCUCCUGUUGACCCUUGGCAACCUUUAACCAGCCCACUUUGGAAUGAAUUUUGUAGACAAGUUCCCUGAGCAAAGUGACAAAAUAAUGCACACCAUGAAUAGUGUACCAUUGGCAAAUAGCAGGUGCCAAUAAUAGAUAUUUCAAUUACUGUCUAUUGCAACUCACACCUUCUUGCUGCCCACAUUUAUAUGCUUUCAAAUACAUGAACAAACAGAUCUGCCCCAACAGUUCUUUUUUUUUAGAUGAAGUCUCACUCUUGUCCCCUAGGCUGGAGUGCAAUGGCGCGAUCUCGG